AUGACGGCUUGCAAGAGGAAGAACGAAGCAGCGGUCCAGCGGCACCGGGAAUGGGCGUGGGAGGUGCGGAUCCGAAGCCGGAAGGCGAGCUCUGGCCGGAUCCAGGGCGAGAACGGCGGAGAUGGCCGGCAGGUCAGGAGGCGUGAUGUCGGAGGCGACGCUGACAAAGACGUUGGGGUGUGCCCAGACAUGAAGGAGGUACGGCGCGAUGCGGCUCGUCGAAGCAGAGGCUCGUGGGCGAGGAGUUGGGGAUGGUGCCGAUCAAGGGGAGGCCGGAGGUGGCGCUGGCCUGCGGCGACGCAGUGUUUGACAGGACAGCGGACUGCCAGCUUGAGGGGCAUGUGGCCAUGGCAAGGAGGCGGGGAAGAAGACCAGGUCAUGGGGCUUCAAGUACAGGAGGAGGCCAUGGCAAGGAGGCGGAGGUGGGAGCGAGCACGAGGGCGCGGCGCUGGUCUCUCUCUUCCUCUCUAG
rnacentral:rRNA from 1 species